rnacentral:lncRNA from 1 species
AACUUGAUGCAUGGUUCAUGAGAUUUGGGUAUUGGUGUAUAUGAUUUGAAGAUGAUUUGGUUCAUGAGGUUAAGGUAUAGUUCAUGUGGUUCAUGAGGUUUGGAUGAGGUUUGGUAUGUGGUUCAUGGUUUGGUUCAUGGGAUUUGGUUUAUGGUUCAUGAGAUUUGGUUCAUGAACUGGGUAUGGUUCAUGGGAUAUGG